CAAGAGAGUGAAAACUCCCUAAACCCACUGUGAACCUACCUGAGUCGACGUUCUUCGGCAGGCGGCCCCGGGGGGGUCGCAGCCCGCCUCCGGGCGGGUGCCUGCCGGAGGGCACACCAAAACUCUUGCUGUUUCUGUACUGUCUGAGUAUUACAAAAAUAAAUCA
rnacentral:misc_RNA from 1 species